GAUGAACGCUGGCGGCGUGCCUAAUACAUGCAAGUCGAGCGAAUGGAUUAAGAGCUUGCUCUUAAGAAGUUAGCGGCGGACGGGUGAGUAACACGUGGGUAACCUGCCCAUAAGACUGGGAUAACUCCGGGAAACCGGGGCUAAUACCGGAUAAUAUUUUGAACUGCAUGGUUCAAAAUUGAAAGGCGGCUUCGGCUGUCACUUAUGGAUGGACCCGCGUCGCAUUAGCUAGUUGGUGAGGUAACGGCUCACCAAGGCAACGAUGCGUAGCCGACCGAAGAGGGUGAUCGGCCACACUGGGACUGAGACACGGCCCAGACUCCUACGGGAGGCAGCAGUAGGGAAUCUUCCGCAAUGGACGAAAGUCUGACGGAGCAACGCCGCGUGAGUGAUGAAGGCUUUCGGGUCGUAAAACUCUGUUGUUAGGGAAGAACAAGUGCUAGUUGAAUAAGCUGGCACCUUGACGGUACCUAACCAGAAAGCCACGGCUAACUACGUGCCAGCCGCCGCCGUAA
rnacentral:rRNA from 1 species